rnacentral:rRNA from 1 species
UACGGGGGGUGCGAGCGUUGUCCGGAAUCACUGGGCGUAAAGGGCGCGUAGGUGGCCUGAUAAGGGUGUGGUGAAAGUCCGGGGCUUAACCCCGGAUCUGCCGUGCCGGACUGUUAGGCUAGAGUGCUGUAGGGGCAGGCGGAAUUCCGGGUGUAGCGGUGGAAUGCGUAGAGAUCCGGAGGAAGACCGGUGGCGAAGGCGGCCUGCUGGGCAGAUACUGACACUGAGGCGCGACAGCGUGGGGAGCAAACAGGAU